UACGGGGGGGGCAAGCGUUGUUCGGAAUUACUGGGCGUAAAGGGCUCGUAGGCGGCCAACUAAGUCGGAUGUGAAAUCCCCAGGCUUAACCUGGGAACUGCAUCCGAUACUGGUUGGCUUGAAUCCGGGAGAGGGAUGCAGAAUUCCAGGUGUAGCGGUGAAAUGCGUAGAUAUCUGGAGGAACACCGAUUGCGAAGGCAGCUCCCUGGGACGUAACUGACGCUGAGACGCGAAAGCGUGGGGAGCAAACAGG
rnacentral:rRNA from 1 species